rnacentral:lncRNA from 1 species
CACAAACGACUUCAAUCCACCAUCAAUUUCCUUCUCCGACUCUCGGUCCGCCGGUUGCCACCAUCGAUCCACCAUCGCCGGCCACAACAGCUAUGUAUGUUCAGAGCAAAAGACAGAGUAUCAGAAAGGAAGGACUCAGAAAUCUCCGAACAGCCACAAAAAUCUCUCAUGAAUAAUCGAUUUUCAGAGGCUUCUCCCAUCUUCAUCCCCUCUCCGUCGCACCAUCCCCGGCCACCGGAAGCCACUGCUCAUCCACCGUCGCCAACCACCACAGGUUACAGCAUAGACCAGAGCACAUUUAUAUACAUACAGAGCUCAGCAUGAAUUUCCACUCCCGGAGCGGUUUCUCUCGUUCACUCUUUGCCCUGUUUCUUGGUCUCCAUUGGCGAAGUGCUCAAACCUCGGUCAACACUGCCUCCUUCAACGAUUCCAGUCAACAAUGUUGCUCCUGGGAUCUCCCCACUCAGAUCUGAUCAUCAUCUCCUUACCGGAGAUUUGGGAAUGACAUUGAAUUGGCAAAUUAGGAUUUAGAGAUUUGGGAUUGAGACAUUUUUGUUUGCAUUACAUC